GAACAGCCGAGAGAGAGAGAGAGAGAGAGAGAGAACAGCUCAGAGAGAAAUGAGUGUGUAUCAAUAUUUAGUUGCUGGGAAUCUAACUCAGGGGCCUAAGAAGAAGAAGGAACAAGGAGGGAAAAGCUAGGAAAGGUGUGGAAUAAAAGGGGAAGUAGAGGAGAAUCAAUUAAAAUGCUGAAAUUAAAGUUUAAGGUCACGCGCUAUUGCCUGCCUGAUUGUGAUCUGUGUGAUCUGCUUCUACAACUGUCUGUGAUCAGGCGCAUGACCAAGCUUAGAGGCGUCUUCCUGGAAUCAGUCCUUGACAGCCAACCUAUGUGCCUCCCGUGGAGGUUCCAGACAUGACUAGUGGUUAUGGCUAAGUGCAUAAGUUAAUGUUUUAUUUUCCUGUCUAGCUAGACAAGUCCUUGUGUAUUGUGUGGAUAAGGCUAAGCCCCUUUUGUCUAGCUUAUAUAUGUAUAUAUAUAAUGAUGUUUAUAUAGGUAUAUAAAAAGUUUAAAAUUGUUCUGUCUCACAUAAGU